rnacentral:lncRNA from 1 species
GGGAAAUAAGAAAUAAUCAAACAGUGGGGCCCAUAUUUGAUGUGACCUGGAGUUUGAUAAAACAUAGAGUGUAGUAGCCAACGUUUAAUUAUGUUGUUUUGUCUGUGCUGUGAAGCUCGAGUCUCACUUGACGGGUGUCUCCAUGCUGGACGUGGUUCGGUGGAGGGCCUGUCAUUUAGUAUGUUCUGCCUGUGUCUUCUGGUUAGUGUCUCUAUAGUUUGUGUGACGGCUUGGGAUGGUUUAAAGAUUGGCUUUGGGAUCUUAGCGUUGGGCCGGUCUAUACGAACAUUCUCAGAGGACGC